rnacentral:tRNA from 1 species
UAAUUUUUAAUUUAAACUUAAAACUAUCUUUUUUUUAAUAUUAAUAUUUAUAAUAAAAAUUAUACUAAAAAUAGAAUUAUAAUAAAAUACUUAUAAAAGUUCCUCAAAUUUUCAAAUAUAUUAUUUAUAUUUAAUAUAAUAUAAAAGAUAAUGUAUAUUCUAAUAUUUCAAAAUUAU